CUACGCUGCUCAGGUUACCCCCUCCUCUCCCCGCCGCCGCCCACGACGGCAUCUCCUCCCUCCUCGCUUCCCUUCACGCCGAUGUCGCCGCCUAUGCCUCCGCGUCCCUCGCCCGCCUCGUGGCCACCCGCGCCGAUCCUCUCGCCCGUGACGACGGAUCCUCCCCUCCCCAACAUCUCUCGCGACCUAGGCGAGUCCUCCCGACACCGUCGCCGGCAAGAGCAACCGGAGCAGCGAUGCCCGACAACUUGCCCGGUGAAACUGGAGAGAGACAAUGAUGAUAUGGGCAUGGCGUGAUGCAGAUUUUCCCGGCGGAGCUGAGGAGAGGCGAAGAAGACAGUGGACAUGAUGCUCCUGCGCGUGGAGCUCUUCUGCACCACUCCACGACCCAUCUUCUUUUCGCUGCCAGCCGUCCGGUAAACAAGCCCGUGACCACUUUGCCGCAGGCGGACACGAUGCUACUCGGUGCACAACCCGCAGUGGGCGCUGAAGGUGUUUCGAAGAGCAAUGGAGGGGGCGGAUCCGGCGCACGUCACGGUGUUCUUCAGUCAGCCUCGCUGACCAGUUGCAGGCACACCGUGACAUGCCGCUCGAGGAGUACCAGGAUAAUCAAUUUGGGGGUAAUACAAGUCAAGUGUCUAUUCUCGAGAUUGGAUUGACUCUCAUUCCAUCAUUUUCCUUGUGGUUGUUCUUGGGCUACUAUUAAAUGAGUGGUAUGUGCUUGCUGUUCAUUCUUUUAUGUAUAUCGACAUCAUCGAUUGACACCAUAUUUACACUAUUUUUAUUCAUGAUGUUCUCUCUACUCAAAAAAAUGAAUGCAAGUUCUCCAGCUUGAUGGAUUCAAGCUCGGUUGUGAUGGAUUGGCCUGGUUCUGCUGGGUUGUAAGGCGAGGCACUGAUUUCUACUUUAAUGUUUUUUGCCAGAGAGUAUUAUGUUUGAAUGCCCACAUCAUCCUUUUUGAAAGUGCAAUUGACUACAAUGUGACAUUCUUUUUUUAAUACCAAAAAGUUCAAAGCUUUAUAAAAAAAAUUGAAACAUAAUUGCUUUGGCAUGUUCAAAAGUAUACUGCAAUAUUAGUAAUUUCAGUGCCCAUUCUGAAGUGCCAAUAUCUGAAUGCUAAAUCCGAACUAACAAGCUCCAACAGGCAAAAUUGGCAUGACAUCGAUCUUUAGCAGUCUGUAGAGGCACUAGAACAUGACAAGAACUUUUUCUAUUUAACAUUCUAUUGCUCAUUUUCCUACUUUUAUAUCCGAAGCUAACCAAAAUUUGGGUGGUUGAUAUUUUUACCUACUCUACAUUUUCUAGCUUGACGGAUUUUGAAGGCGAGGUACUGAUUUCUACAUUAUUUCAUUGGUGGGGUAUGUUUUGUACGGACUCGUAAGAAUUUUUUCCUCACCACCUGAUGUUAUAUACUUUGUGGUAUUGAGAAGCCACAGUACGGAACCAAAGCUUUGAACUGUAGUUUUCCUACUUAAUAUUCAUUGCUAAAUUUCUCAUUUUAUCAGUAGUUGAAUCUCUAUUUUGUUCUUGUGUAAAAAAGGUGCUUCAGUACUGCCCUUUGUAUGCAAUAGGGAAAUGGUCUCUUUGUUCAUCACGAGAAACAAUAGUUUAAAAUUUAGAAAUGCUUAUGGAGAUUACAAUAUUAGUCAUGUGAUCCACAUCGGAUUUUUUAUAUCAUUGCUGAUGCACCAAGUUGUUUUUGUGGGCAGAUCAAGAAUGUCUACCGCGUGUUGGGUCAAGGUGACAGAACACAAUUCAUCCCAUUAUCAUUAUGGGUGUAUGAUGGUAUAGUUGUAAGUUAGGAUUUAUAAUACAUGAAAAAAUUGAUUGCACGCAUAAGUAAGAAAUGUAAUUUACAGGAUAUAUAUACUUUUACAAUCAUACCCUUAUGCCACUUGAAAAAGGUGAAGGCAGGUGUUAAUUUGAUGUCGCUGUUUUGAAUCCAUGCAGUGAGUGAUGUUCAUACUUGGCAUUCUUUGUCAGAAUAGUGGUAUGAGGCAAGGCUUCAAAAUAAGGGAACAGAAAAGUUACAGAGUUAUACGUGUGCUCAACAUCAUUUGCCAUUAUUCAUGUUAGAGAUAAUUCGGUGACCUUAAUUAUGAUAACCUUGGAUAAUGUCUGCUCCUCGUGUUGAUUGCUAUUCUUCGGCUGGUAUGAAGGUGAGUGAGAGAGUUUCUCUACUGUAGUUUGUUGGAGUUACCAUUCUUCAGAAAUUUCUCAAUGGAUGUAAUCAACAGUUCUUAGAUGAUAUGUAUUCUAAAUUAAGACAUAGAUAAUAGAAGUUACCAUUUUUUACAAAUUUCUGAAUGGAUAUAAUACACAGUUCUUAGACUAUAAAUUUAGAGAAGGUAAAUUACUGAAGCAAGUUCCAAAAUUCUAUUAUGGAUAUCCGCAAUGGUUCGCAGUGUGUUAACCACUUGAUUCUACCAAUAUCUGUUCCAUAAUUAACUGGACCGUUUGUUUCUAGAAGCUUGCUACUUUCCUAUUUGAUUGACUUCAUGAAUAUUUGCAAUGUAUCAGACAAAAAACAGUGUUCCAGAGCAUUGUAUUUAGAUUGCCAUCCAAAUGAAGAGGCUGUUAAUUUUAAUGUUGGUAAUUUAUAUUUUGCAUGGACGAUAGCUUAUACAGUGUGACUUCACAAUGCAUAUAUUUUUGAUGGGAUGAAAGUCAACCUGCUGUUCCAUAGUUCACUGGUUAGGCAUUCUUCUACUACUGCAGGUUAUAGUAUUUUUACAAACAACUUUGCACGAGAGCAAAUACAAGCUUUUAAUGAGAGCAAAUACAAGCUUUUAAUGUUGACAUACUUGCACAACAUUAUCUAAUAUUGAAUGUAUCCAUGAUGCCUUGCGAUAUAUUGAGAAACUUCUUCCGUUGGGCUCGAAGGUGGGCUCGCUUGGGGCGGUGACGGUUGCCUCGACGCCCUCUCCACCUCCGUUGGAGCCUAGUCAGUCGGAGUAUGCAUGUGUGGAGGGUGAUGGUCCAGACAUGGCUAACAUGCGAUCGCUUGAACCCUUUGGAGGUGUGGUUCCUAUGGCUGAUAAAAUUGUUGUGGCCGGAGUGUUGGUGCCUAAUCCUGGUGUCCUUUUAGCCACCAAGAUAUGUGAAUUCCUAGCCAACCUGGACUCUGAAAAUUCUGGAAAGACGAUUGGAUGCCUCUUGGAGGAAAAAGCUUUGAGGGAGAAGCACAAGAAGGGUGGCGCUAACUCUAGAUCUGGCAUCCUCAAAGAGAAAUCUUGCAGGAGGAAAAGCAAGAAGGAUAGCGCUAGAGGGGAGGCGCAAAUGGUUCCAUGAUGGAUGGUUCUCGGCUUUCUGAGUUGCAGAUGUGUGCUUGGUCAUGGGGGUGGUUUUCGUCAAUGUGUUUUCUUCGAGUUGCAUUAUGUCGAUUGGUUUUCUUUUGCAGUACAGUGACCCAUAUGUUGUGGGUUGCAGUAGUAGUGUGUUGGGUGCUUCGGUCCCGUGGCUUCAUGAUUCGGGAGUAGUUCACAUGUGGAUGGGGUCGUGCUUUUGAGCAUGGUUGUGAUGGUUUUCGCCUGGUUUUCCAUAAAUUAACUAGGCAACUCUCUUCUUCUUAAUUAAUGGAUGAGGCAAAACUUUUGCCUCCGUUUCAAAAAAAAAA